rnacentral:misc_RNA from 1 species
GAUGAAGAACGCAGCGAAUUGCGAUAAGUAAUGUGAAUUGCAGAUUUUCAGUGAAUCAUCGAAUCUUUGAACGCACAUUGCGCCCCUUGGUAUUCCGAGGGGCAUGCCUGUUCGAGCGUCAUUAUAACCCCUCAAGCUCAGCUUGGUGUUGGGGCCUGCUGCACUGGCAGCCCUUAAAAUCAGUGGCGGCGCCAUCUGGCUCUAAGCGUAGUAAUUCUUCUCGCUAUGGAGUCCUGGUGGAUGCUUGCCAUCAACCCCCAAUUUUUCUAUGGUUGACCUCGGAUCAGGUAGGGAUACCCGCUGAACUUAAGCAUAUCAAUAAGCGGAGGA